rnacentral:rRNA from 1 species
UACGGAGGAUCCAAGCGUUAUCCGGAUUUAUUGGGUUUAAAGGGUGCGUAGGCGGCCCGGUAAGUUAGAGGUGAAAGCCCGUGGCUCAACCACGGAAUUGCCUCUGAUACUGUCGGGCUAGAGAAUAGUUGCUGUGGGCGGAAUGUGUAGUGUAGCGGUGAAAUGCUUAGAGAUUACACAGAACACCGAUUGCGAAGGCAGCUCACAAAGCUAUUUCUGACGCUGAGGCGCGAAAGCGUGGGGAGCAAACAGGAUUAGAUACCCU